UGCGCAGGCGGGAGAUCAGGUCGGAUGUGAAAACCUUGGGCUCAACCCAGGGCCUGCAUCCGAAACCGGUUUUCUUGAGUAUCGGAGAGGAAAGCGGAACUCCAGGUGUAGCGGUGAAAUGCGUAGAUAUCUGGAGGAACACCGGUGGCGAAGGCGGCUCUCUGGACGAAUACUGACGCUCAUGCACGAAGGCUAGGGGAGCAAACA
rnacentral:rRNA from 1 species